AGGAUAUAUAGCCAGAGUAGUGAGACUAGUGUAAUGUUUCAAGGGCCCAGCUCCUGCAAGAAGGCAGUCUUGAGGGUCCAGUAUGAGGUCCUGAGAGAUAUUGGCCAUGGUGGGUUUGGCCAGAUAAAACUAGCCCAUCAUUGGCCCAUGGGGGCAGAGAUGGCAGUGAAAGUCUUGCCAAAGACAGUGCAGAACCUCCCAAUCCUCUCUGAAACAGAUAUGAUGAGGAGCCUGGAGCAUCCCAAUGUGAUUCAGUUAUUUCAGGUUGUUGACACCCACAGAAAUAUCUAUAUGGUGAUGGAGCAUGCGGGUGGGGGACAGUUACUGGACCAUGUCCCACAGCAUGACAUGCAGGAGAAAGAGGCCCGCAGACUUUUCCAGCAGAUAGUAUGUGCCAUGGGCUACUGCCAUGACAAGGGCAUCAUGCACCAAGACCUGAAGCCAGAGAACAUCAUGCUGGAUGCCAGAGGCCACAUCAAACUUAUUCACUUUGGCUUCAGCACCACAGUCAUGCCUGGGCAGAAACUGCACAAGUUCUGGGGCACUCUCCCUCACUUUGCCCCUGAAAUUAUCCUGAGGCAAGCAUAUGAAGGGCACUCAGUGGACAUCUGGAGCCUGGUUUCAUUCUGUAUUUUAUGUUGACAGGGAGGUGCCCAUUUAUGGGACCUACCACUAAGGAGGUGCUGAGGCAGAUCGUGCUUGGAACCUACCACAUCCCUCCCUGUGUUUCUGUAGUAGCACAAAUACUCACCUGCCAAAUACUGACCCUGGACCCCAGGAAGCGGCCCACAGCCAAGCAGAUCCUUCAGCACCCAUGGCUGACACAGAGUGAGCAGUAUUUACCUCAUGAUUAUGGUAAGGCCCUCCCCAAAACCCAGACCCCAAAAAACUGACAGUAAUGUUUGAUAUGGAUUAUGAUCUACACAAUACCUGUGUGUCUGGCCAAGAGAAAGUUCAAUGAAGCCAUGGCUAUCUACCUUAUACUAGAGCACCAGAAAAGCCAGGGGGCAGGCUGCAUGUUCCAGGGGAAGCCUGUGCCUCCGAAGGUUAAGCCUCGCCCAUGCCCCUUGGAUCUUUCCAAUUCCCCUGUCCUCCCAAAGAGGUGUCCCAGAGAGCUUGCCCUUCCUUCCCCUUGCCCUGUGAGCCUCUUCUGCCUGAGUAGGCCCAGCAGUCAGGGCAGAAGUGCAUCUGAAGGGCUAGACAGCCUGCCAUCCAUUUCCACGACCCUCCUGCAAGGACCCACAUACUGAUUUAGCCUCCUAGUUGGACUUUGGGCAACCCCAUACCAUUGGAAAGUUCUGGAAGCAGGUGACUGGGAGGAUUGCUACCUGUCUCUGUCAACUGUGCCUUUGCAUGCCAUAUGUCAAAAGUAAAGUGGUUCCAAUGUAAGAGGGCAGAAACCUGCCAGGUUCAUAAUGUGGCUCCAAUGAAGGGGAAAGGUGACCAGACUAAACCAGAGCACAUCCAGAAAACCUGUGCUCUGUGGAUUCUGACACCUGUGUGGGCAUCAGUCAUGUGGACUCUGAACAGCUGCAGGAGCAACAUGUGCCAACUACCUCAGGUUCCUCUGCCCAGGUUUUAGCCAAGAGCACUUCUGCAUCCACUUGGACAUCAGGAGUCUCCUCUGCCCCCACCUGCUGAAGAUAUCAGAGACUGUUCUCCUUGAGACACUUCCUGCUGCCCUGCCCCUCUGUCCUUUCUCCCAUUCUUCUGAGUUGUUUCUUAAUAAAUUUAUUUCAACAAAAAAAGGUGCCAUUGGAAUUUUGGUAAGGAUUGCAUUGCAAUUACUUGGGGUAUUAUGGGCAUUUUGAUACUAUUAAUUUUUCCCAUCUAUGAAUACAAAAUGCCUUUCCAUUUGUUUGUGUCUUCUUUAUUCUUUGAUCAGUUCUUCAGUGUUCAAUAUGUAAGUCUUUCACUUCCUUAAUUAAGUUUUAAUCAAGUAUUUCAUUAUUUCAAUGCUAUUGUAAAAGGGAUGUUGAGAGCCACAGCCAAAGGGGCCCCAGCAAACUUCCAGCUGCCAGCAAACUUCCAGCUGCUGGCUGAUGAUUGGCUCACAGCGGCCCCAGCAACAUCUAGCUGAUUGGCUCCUCUGCGGUGAUGCUCAUUGGGCUGUUUCCCUGCCCUUUCAGACCACGGAGCUGCUCAUUGGGGGACUUUUUUGGCUCCGCCCACGUGACCCAGCCAAUCGGCCUCAAGAGCAGGAGGAUUGUGGGAGGUGGAGAGAAGCUUGUGUGAGAGAGAGAGGCUUGUGGAAAGCCGGUGGUGGCAGUUGAGGCUCUGAGGGUUUUUCCUGAGAGGCUGUUUUGUUUGGGUGUGUGGUUCUAAAAAUAAAGUUAGUUUCUUUUGACAAGUGGCUCCUGAUUGUGCCCAGCCAGACUGCGGCAGGGAUAUUUUUCUGAUUUCCUUUUCAGGUAGUUAUUAGUGUUUAGAAACAAUUUAUUUUUUGUAUAUUGAUUUUGUAGCUUAUAAAUGUAUGAAAUUUAUUAGAUUUAACAUCUUUGUGGAGUCUUCAGGGUUUUCUGUAUGUAACAACAUAUCAUCUGCAAAUGGAC
rnacentral:lncRNA from 1 species